rnacentral:tRNA from 1 species
GCCAGUGUGGUGUAGUGGUUUAAGCGUUGGACCACAACUCUGGAGACCAGGGUUCGAAUCCCUGUUUGGCC